rnacentral:rRNA from 1 species
GAGAUCAUACGUGUGACUGGAGUUCAGACGUGUGCUCUUCCGAUCUGAAACAUCUUAGUAAGCAGAGGAAAAGAAAGAGAAUUCGAUUCCGUAAGUAGCGGCGAGCGAAAACGGACCAGCCCAAACCGACGUCUAUGGCGUCGGGGUUGUAGGACCCCGCUGUGGGACCUUGAAUGAUAGGUGAAGCCAAUGGAAACUGGCGACAAAGAGGGUGACAUCCCCGUAACCGAAAUCAAACAAGGCCCUAGGGAGUUCCUGAGUAGCACGGGACACGUGAAACCCCGUGUGAAUCUGCGCAGACCACUGCGUAAGGCUAAAUACUAACUAGCGACCGAUAGUGAACCAGUACCGUGAGGGAAAGGUGAAAAGUACCCCUGUGAGGGGAGUGAAAUAGAACCUGAAACCCUAUGCCUACAAGGUGUAAGAGCACUUUCGAGUGUGAUUGCGUGCCUUUUGCUUAAUGAGUCUGCGAGUUACCGUCUGUGGCAAGCUUAAGAUCUUCUGGAUCGUAGGCGUAGCGAAAGCAAGUCCGAAUAGGGCGACAAUGAGUUGCAGGCGGUAGACCCGAAACGGAGGUGACCUACCCAUGGCCAGGUUGAAGCUUAGGUGAUACUAAGUGGAGGACCGAACCGGUGUGUGUUGAAAAACGCUCGGAUGAGCUGUGGGUCGGAGUGAAAGGCUAAUCAAACCCCGUGAUAGCUGGUUCUCCUCGAAAUGCAUUUAGGUGCAGCGUUACGUGUUGAUGAGUGGGGGUAGAGCACUGACAGGGCUAGGGGGCAUACCCGCCUACCAACCCCUAUCAAACUCCGAAUACCAUUCAAUAGAACGUAGCAGUGAGACGGCGGGGGAUAAGCUUCGUCGUCGAGAGGGAAACAGCCCAGACCAGCAGCUAAGGUGCCUAAAUAGUGCUCAGUGGAAAGGAGGUGAGGUUUCAUAGACAGUGAGGAUGUUGGCUUAGAAGCAGCCACCAUUUAAAAAAUGCGUAAUAGCUUACUCAUCGAGAGACCUUGCGCCGAAAAUACUUGGCGAUAAGCACUAUACCGAAGCUCUGGGUGUCCUAGUUUACUAGGGCGCGGUAGAGGAGCAUUCUCUGGACAGUGAAGGGUGAUGGUGACUGACCCUGGAGUGCAGAGAAGUGAGAAUGCAGACAUGAGUAACGAUAAGAGCGGUGAAAUCCCGCUCCGCCGUAAAUCCAAGGUUUCCCGGGCAACGUUUUUCGUCCCGGGGUUAGUCGGGACCUAACCCGAGGCCGAUGGGCGUAGGGGAUGGUAAGCAGGUUAAUAUUCCUGCACCCAGUUAGGAGGACGCAUAAUGAAAAGCUACUAGGUGAUUGAAUUCCGAGAUGCGGCUACGGCCAAUUCGCAUAGCUGGACAGAGUGCCAAGAAAAGCCCUAACACUAAUGGCCCGUACCGUAAACCGACACAGGUGGAUGGGUAGAAUAUACCAAGGCGCAAGAGUGAAACCUGGUCAAGGAACUCGGCAAAAUAGCCCCGUAACUUCGGAAGAAGGGGUGCCCCCAUCUAGUAAUAGAGGGGGGCCGCAGUGAAAUGGCCCAACCGACUGUUUAGCAAAAACACAGCAUUGUGCUAAGGCGUAAGCCGACGUAUACGAUGUGACACGUGACCAAUGCCAAAAGAUUACGGUAAGAUGUUAGCCUUUAUGGCGAAGCUUCGAGCCCAAGUCCUGGUGAAUGUCGGCCGUAACUAUAACGGUCCUAAGGUAGCGAAAUUCCUUGUCGGGUAAGUUCCG